GACGAACGCUGGCGGCGUGCUUAACACAUGCAAGUCGAACGGGAUAAUUUGAGAGCUUGCUCUUAGAGAAUCUAGUGGCAAACGGGUGAGUAACACGUAGACAACCUGCCGGCAGGAUGGGGACAACAUUCCGAAAGGAAUGCUAAUACCGAAUGAAGCGGCGGAGAGGCAUCUCUCCUCCGUGAAAGAUGGCCUCUGAAUAUGCUAUCACCUGUCGAUGGGUCUGCGUGUGAUUAGCUAGUUGGUGCGGUAACGGCUCACCAAGGCGACGAUCAGUAGCCGGUCUGGGAGGAAGAACGGCCACAUCGGGGCUGGGAAACGGCCCAGACGCCUACGGGAGGCAGCAGUGGGGAAUCUGCCGCAAUGGGCGCAAGCCUGACGGAGCAACGCCGCGUGAGUGAAGAAGGUCUUCGGAUCGUAAAGCUCUGGUGACGGGGACGAACGUGCGAAGGGUGAAUAACCCUUUGUAAUGACGGUACCUGUCGAGGAAGCCACGGCUAACUACGUGC
rnacentral:rRNA from 1 species